ACCGCCCGUCACACCACGAGAGUUUACAACACCCGAAGUCAGUGGCCUAACCGCAAGGAGGGAGCUGCCUAAGGUGGGGUAGAUGAUUGGGGUGAAGUCGUAACAAGGUAUC
rnacentral:rRNA from 1 species